CCUGGAGCUUGCUCUAGGGAAUUAGUGGCGAACGGGUGAGUAACACGUGAGUAACCUGCCCUUGACUCUGGGAUAACCUCCGGAAACGGAAGCUAAUACCGGAUAUGACGCACGGAGGCAUCUCCUGUGCGUGGAAAGAAUUUCGGUCAAGGAUGGACUCGCGGCCUAUCAGGUAGUUGGUGAGGUAACGGCCCACCAAGCCUACGACGGGUAGCCGGCCUGAGAGGGUGACCGGCCACACUGGGACUGAGACACGGCCCAGACUCCUACGGGAGGCAGCAGUGGGGAAUAUUGCACAAUGGGCGCAAGCCUGAUGCAGCAACGCCGCGUGAGGGACGACGGCCUUCGGGUUGUAAACCUCUUUUAGUAGGGAAGAAGCGAAAGUGACGGUACCUGCAGAAAAAGCACCGGCUAACUACGUGCCAGCAGCCGCGGUAAUACGUAGGGUGCGAGCGUUGUCCGGAAUUAUUGGGCGUAAAGAGCUCGUAGGCGGUCUGUCGCGUCUGCUGUGAAAACCCGA
rnacentral:rRNA from 1 species